rnacentral:sRNA from 1 species
CCAAAGGGCAAGGAGCUGUUACUGUAUUCUUUAUCCACAGAACAAGCCUAGCAUGGGCAGCAACAGUGCAAGCUUUCCUCACUCUACUCUUGCCAAUAUGCUUCAACCCUGACCUGGAGGGACCCCUUGAAAAGCAGCAGGAAAAGGAGGUCCAUCUCCAUUCAUGCCUUGGCUUUU